rnacentral:rRNA from 1 species
AUCCCCCACACUGGUACUUAGACACGGACCAGACUCCUACGGGAGGCAGCAGUGAGGAAUAUUGGUCAAUGGAGGCAACUCUGAACCAGCCAUGCCGCGUGCAGGAAGAAGGCCUUCUGGGUUGUAAACUGCUUUUAUACGGGAAGAAAAAGGUCUUGCGAGAUCAACUGACGGUACCGUAUGAAUAAGCACCGGCUAACUCCGUGCCAGCAGCCGCGGUAAUACGGAGGGUCCGAGCGUUAUCCGGAAUCAUUGGGUUUAAAGGGUCCG